AGGGGCUUAACACAUGCAAGUCGAGGGGCAGCAUUUUAGUUUGCUUGCAAACUAAAGAUGGCGACCGGCGCACGGGUGAGUAACACGUAUCCAACCUGCCGAUAACUCGGGGAUAGCCUUUCGAAAGAAAGAUUAAUAUCCGAUAGUAUAUUAAAACCGCAUGGUUUUACUAUUAAAGAAUUUCGGUUAUCGAUGGGGAUGCGUUCCAUUAGUUUGUUGGCGGGGUAACGGCCCACCAAGACUACGAUGGAUAGGGGUUCUGAGAGGAAGGUCCCCCACAUUGGAACUGAGACACGGUCCAAACCCCUACGGGAGGCAGCAGUGAGGAAUAUUGGUCAAUGGACGAGAGUCUGAACCAGCCAAGUAGCGUGAAGGAUGACUGCCCUAUGGGUUGUAAACUUCUUUUAUAUGGGAAUAAAGUAUUCCACGUGUGGGAUUUUGUAUGUACCAUAUGAAUAAGGAUCGGCUAACUCCGUGCCAGCAGCCGCGGUAAUACGGAGGAUCCGAGCGUUAUCCGGAUUUAUUGGGUUUAAAGGGAGCGUAGGUGGAUUGUUAAGUCAGUUGUGAAAGUUUGCGGCUCAACCGUAAAAUUGCAGUUGAAACUGGCAGUCUUGAGUACAGUAGAGGUGGGCGGAAUUCGUGGUGUAGCGGUGAAAUGCUUAGAUAUCACGAAGAACUCCGAUUGCGAAGGCAGCUCACUAGACUGCAACUGACACUGAUGCUCGAAAGUGUGGGUAUCAAACAGGAUUAGAUACCCUGGUAGUCCACACAGUAAACGAUGAAUACUCGCUGUUUGCGAUAUACAGUAAGCGGCCAAGCGAAAGCAUUAAGUAUUCCACCUGGGGAGUACGCCGGCAACGGUGAAACUCAAAGGAAUUGACGGGGGCCCGCACAAGCGGAGGAACAUGUGGUUUAAUUCGAUGAUACGCGAGGAACCUUACCCGGGCUUAAAUUGCAUUUGAAUAAUCUGGAAACAGGUUAGCCGCAAGGCAAAUGUGAAGGUGCUGCAUGGUUGUCGUCAGCUCGUGCCGUGAGGUGUCGGCUUAAGUGCCAUAACGAGCGCAACCCUUAUCUUUAGUUACUAACAGGUCAUGCUGAGGACUCUAGAGAGACUGCCGUCGUAAGAUGUGAGGAAGGUGGGGAUGACGUCAAAUCAGCACGGCCCUUACGUCCGGGGCUACACACGUGUUACAAUGGGGGGUACGGAAGGCAGCUACCUGGCGACAGGAUGCUAAUCCCAAAAACCUCUCUCAGUUCGGAUCGAAGUCUGCAACCCGACUUCGUGAAGCUGGAUUCGCUAGUAAUCGCGCAUCAGCCAUGGCGCGGUGAAUACGUUCCCGGGCCUUGUACACACCGCCCGUCAAGCCAUGAAAGCCGGGGGUACCUGAAGUACGUAACAGCAAGGAGCGUCCUAGGGUAAAACUGGUAAUUG
rnacentral:rRNA from 1 species